UACGUAGGGUGCAAGCGUUUGUCCGGAAUUAUUGGGCGUAAAGAGCUCGUAGGCGGUUUGUCACGUCGGAUGUGAAACCCUGAGGCUCAACCUCAGGCCUGCAUUCGAUACGGCAGACUAGAAUUCGGCAGGGGAGACUGGAAUUCCUGGUGUAGCGGUGAAAUGCGCAGAUAUCAGGAGGAACACCGGUGGCGAAGGCGGGUCUCUGGCCGAUAUUGACGCUGAGGAGCGAAAGCGUGGGGAGCAAACAGG
rnacentral:rRNA from 1 species